AUUUGUUAUCAAGAAGGAAAAAACCCAUUUCCCCAAAUGCAGCAACAGCCCCGAUGAACGAUUUACACUCAAGCAUCUUACCGUCUGAAGUGUCGUGCUGUGUACCGAUCACAGUGAGGGGGAAAGCUGGAAUCAGAGAUCGCAUUGCAAGUUAAAAAGCUGAACAAGGAUCAUCUAUUUCGAGAGACAAGAGAGUUCUAUAAUGAGAGACCGACUGCCAGCAAUUAUCC
rnacentral:lncRNA from 1 species